rnacentral:siRNA from 1 species
AGAUCAGACAUCCAUUUGAACGU